GACGAACGCUGGCGGCGUGCUUAACACAUGCAAGUCGAACGAAGAGCGAUGGAAGUUUGCUUCUAUCAAUCUGAGUGGCGAACGGGUGAGUAACGCGGAAUCAACCUGUCUUUCAGUGGGGGACAACAGUUGGAAACGAGUGCUAAUACCGCAUACGAUCUAAUCUCGGCAUCGAGGAGAGAUGAAAGGUGGUCUCUUCAUGUAUGCUAUCACUGCAGGAGGGGAUUGCGGCUGAUUAGCUAGCUGGCGGGGUAACGGCCCACCCAGGGGAUGAUAGGGAGUCGGACUGAGAGGGUGAACGGCCCAAUUGGGAAUGAGACACGGCCCCGACGUCUACGGGAGGCAGCAGUGGGGAAUCCUCCGCAAAGGAGGGAAGGCUGACGGAGCCACGGCCGGUGAGGGAUGGAGGCCCUCGGGUUGUAAAGAUCCGUUAAUCGGGACGAAAGGCCUUCUUGCGAAUAGUGGGACGGCUUGACGGUACCUGAAUAGAAAGCCACGGCUAACUACGUG
rnacentral:rRNA from 1 species